AUAACAUUUGGAAACAGAUGCUAAUACCGCAUAACAAUUUGAAUCGCAUGAUUCAAAUUUAAAAGAUGGUUUCGGCUAUCACUUUGGGAUGGACCUGCGGCGCAUUAGCUUGUUGGUAGGGUAACGGCCUACCAAGGCUGUGAUGCGUAGCCGAGUUGAGAGACUGAUCGGCCACAAUGGAACUGAGACACGGUCCAUACUCCUACGGGAGGCAGCAGUAGGGAAUCUUCCACAAUGGGCGCAAGCCUGAUGGAGCAACACCGCGUGAGUGAAGAAGGGUUUCGGCUCGUAAAGCUCUGUUGUUAGAGAAGAACGUGCGUGAGAGUAACUGUUCACGCAGUGACGGUAUCUAACCAGAAAGUCACGGCUAACUACGUGCCAGCAGCCGCGGUAAUACGUAGGUGGCAAGCGUUAUCCGGAUUUAUUGGGCGUAAAGCGAGCGCAGGCGGUUUGAUAAGUCUGAUGUGAAAGCCUUUGGCUUAACCAAAGAAGUGCAUCGGAAACUGUCAGACUUGAGUGCAGAAGAGGACAGUGGAACUCCAUGUGUAGCGGUGGAAUGCGUAGAUAUAUGGAAGAACACCAGUGGCGAAGGCGGCUGUCUGGUCUGUAACUGACGCUGAGGCUCGAAAGCAUGGGUAGCGAACAGGAUUAGAUACCCUGGUAGUCCAUGCCGU
rnacentral:rRNA from 1 species